UGAGGAAUAUUGGUCAAUGGGCGCAAGCCUGAACCAGCCAUCCCGCGUGCAGGAAGAAGGCGCUAUGCGUUGUAAACUGCUUUUCCAGGGGGCGAACGUUUCGUACGUGUACGGGAGUGACGGUACCUUGGGAAUAAGCAUCGGCUAACUCCGUGCCAGCAGCCGCGGUAAUACGGAGGAUGCGAGCGUUAUCCGGAUUUAUUGGGUUUAAAGGGUGCGUAGGCGGAUUAAUAAGUCAGUGGUGAAAGUCUGCAGCUUAACUGUGGCACUGCCGUUGAUACUGUUAGUCUUGAGUAUGGUCAAGGUAGGCGGAAUGUGUAAUGUAGUGGUGAAAUGCUUAGAUAUUACACAGAACACCGAUUGCGAAGGCAGCUUACUGGGCCGUUACUGACGCUGAUGCACGAAAGCGUGGGGAUCGAACAG
rnacentral:rRNA from 1 species